ACCAGGAUUCCCCUAGUAACGGCGAGUGAACCGGGAAGAGCUCAAGCUGAAAAUCUUCGGAAUUGUAGUCUAUAGGUGCAGACUCGUGUGGACCCAGGUAUAAGUCCGUUCUUGGAAUUGGGUGCCAGAGAGGGUUAGAGCCCCGUCUUUGACUUGGUGAGCCACACGUGAUGAGUAUGCACCAGAGAGUCGGCUUGCUUGGGAAUGCAGGUCAAAAUGGGUGGUAAACUUCAUCUAAAGCUAAAUAUUGGCGAGAGACCGAUAGCGAACAAGUACUGUGAAGGAAAGAUGGAAAGAACUUUGAAAAGAGAGUGAAAAAGGGCUUGAAAUUGUUAAGAGGAGAAGUGAUUGGAGCAUAUCAUACCUUUUAGGGAAAAUGCUUGGGACUUGUCCUGGGAAUGUAUUCCUAUUUGGUUGGUCAGCAUCGGUUUGAGCUUGGGGAGAAUACUUCUAUUGUGAAACCUAGUGAUCGGUAGUUGGAAAACCCGGGGUCAGACCGAGGCACAAAGGACGCGCAUAGCGACCAGCUCUAGCCCUUCUGCGUUGCAACGUAACACUCCUAGAGGGUUGCUUGUCUCGUGGUUGAUGCAAAGAGUGUAGGACUGCGUUCUGAAGAUGCUGGCACAAAUGGCUUCAAUCAGCCCGUCUUGAAACCGG
rnacentral:rRNA from 1 species